UAUUAGGUUGGUGCAAAUGUAAUCAUGGUUUUUGCCAUUGAAAGUAAUGGCAAAAGCCACGAUUACAUUUGCACCAACCUAAUA
rfam:Pan troglodytes isolate Yerkes chimp pedigree #C0471 (Clint) chromosome 13, whole genome shotgun sequence.